rnacentral:lncRNA from 1 species
UAGCAUCAAGCUAACGACAAACAUGAGUAGAAAACAAUUAUGUAUUAAAUAAAUAAAUAAAAAGUAUAUUUUCUCUAAUAAAUUUUAGAUGAAAUGGUAAUUCAACUUUAAAUGGUAUCCAAAUAGAUAUGUAUAUUAGCUUCGAGUCUCACUAUCACCUAUUAUAAAAAAAGAAUUUUCAUGUGCGGGAGGGUGAUAGACAAUAAUUAAGUAUUGUAAAUAAGAAGAGAGAAUAUUCAAAAGAUGAUAAAUCAAAGUUGAAAGGAAGAUAUACCUGGGAAUUAUUGUCAAUGUGAUUCAGCUGUGUUUCAGCUUUGGUUGAUUCAAAACGACGAAAGGCGAAGUGGGGAGGAUAGAUUCCAAGAAUUCCUAAUGGGUAUCUCAGAUUUGGCGAUAUAAGUGUAUGAACAGAAUGCGAACCCAAAAAUCCCAUCUUGGGCUUCAAAUAGAUCAACUUUCUUGAUUUUGAGAAGAACAGAGCCAUCGCAAUGUUUCUUUGUGUGUGUGGGAGAGAGAGAAGAGACGAAGAGGUCAAAACAGAGGUUUAGGCGGAAGCAAAGCAACGAGCUUCAUUGUCAGUCAGAUUCCAUGUGGAAAUUGGAUUUUCUUUAAAAGAUAUGACAAGAUCGAUAUUUGACUCUAUUUCCUUUUCCGCCCCUUGAAAUUUGAAAUAUAGUAAAUCUUGCCUACUUAGUAUUUAUUAUGAUCAUUUAACCCCGUUUUGUUUGGGAGUUGGGAUGAUUAAAAUUGAUAUAUUUUGGUAUUGUAAAAAUUUAUCCGUGUUAUAAAAUAAUAAAAUAACAAGAGCAAUAUUGCAGAGAAAGAGAGAGAGAAAAUUCUUAUUGAAUU